rnacentral:rRNA from 1 species
UACAGAGGUCUCAAGCGUUGUUCGGAUUCAUUGGGCGUAAAGGGUGCGUAGGUGGUGCCGUAAGUCGGGUGUGAAAUCUCGGGGCUCAACCCCGAAACUGCACUUGAUACUGCGGUGCUCGAGGACUGGAGAGGAGAUCGGAAUUCAUGGUGUAGCAGUGAAAUGCGUAGAUAUCAUGAGGAAGACCAGUGGCGAAGGCGGAUCUCUGGAAAAUACCUGACACUGAGGCACGAAAGCUAGGGGAGCAAACAGG